CGUUGAUUUACUUUUUUUUAUCAUAGCAAGUCAUCAUUUUCGAUUUUUAUGAACAUAAAAAUAUUCACAUUCAUUUUUUGAGAUGCACAAGUAUUAGGUAGAACAGUAAAUAAACGAGAGACAAUGUCAGUAAUCGGGUACUCGAAAAUUAUGCUUUCAUUGAGAUUGUUGUCUCAUCAGUAUCUUUUUACUUCCAUUCAACAGCAAUGAUUCUGCCUAAAAAGAUCGAUUGGACUUUACUGGGAUUUGCCCAUUACGAGAAACAGGUUUCGCAACCAUUCGAGAAAUCCUCGUUUCUAACAAGUCCCUUUAUUUCCUCUUCUAGUUCUCUUCUUCUCGCUAUUCCUCCGACGAAGACAUGUUCGAUCGAUGAUAAAAUUUGCUACCGAAUAAAUGGUUUGCCCCUGAAAAGACAGUAUAUAGUAUUGUUAUGAAAUCGACGUGCUUAUUUUAUUGGCUUACUGUGUUUUUGACCGCGGCAAAACUCUCCCCUUCCAUUUGGGUUACUUCAAAGCUGGUGUCAGUUAAUCUACUAUAAUAGUGAUUCUAAUAAUGAUAAAAAGGAUAAAUAUAAAUAACAGAUGUAAAUAAUGUCUCAAUCAGAUUCCAAGAAAACGGUCACUCCAUAGGUGCCGGCCCCUUUCGGCGGAUGGUGUAAUAGUAUACAUGAGUGUCUUAAGGGGGACAAGUGCCACCAGACACCCCCCCCCUCCCAUCAAUCGACACACCUGCUCCCCAACAUGUACCCUUGGAGGAGUAAUACCAAACUCCCUAGAGGCCCCCAUCGGCCAAGAGAGUGGAAGCUAUAAUACGAGCUCUUCCCAAGGUCACGAGUUAGUUAAGCGGUUGCUUGGGGUCUGUGAUGUUGUGUCUUCAUUAGCAGCCUGCAAAGCAAAGUAGACGACUUCGAUAAUAAACAUCACCAUAGGAAAAAAGGUGUACAGAUGAUAGUUCGCUUCUGAAGUUACAUCAAAGAAAGAUUGUCGAAUAGAAUUCAAUCGCAUGAUGGUCGUCACCUUAUCAUUGCGUACGAUACGUUUCCCCCGGAUGAUCUGGAAAGUGAUUCGUUUGCACCGCAAAGUGAAGUUAGGAGAAUCUAAAGUGGAAAAUCAAACGUCCUGAAAAGAGAAAGAACAACGGGCUAUGAGACACAUUUCCCUGUGGUAUACCAUUUUCCAACUUACAUGUCAGGAAAAUGCCUGUGUUAAGAUUUUUUUUCUUUUACAAAUAAAGUGUCGUGCCAUAGCUGAAAGAAUUGUUCCGUUGUGGCUUCUGGACCUCACAGGGACUGAUGAAUAUAUAUGCUACUCAUGAACAAAGAUUGACGUUGCCAUGACGAUGAAAAAAUGGGAAACGAAGCCAAGAGUCUAUACGUCCUAUUAUGGAGAACAAAAAUCUAAGCAAAAGGAAAUGUGUGGGAUAAAGAACAAAAAAACAGUGGAAUCAUACCAAGUUUGAAGCAUAAAACAUUUCCAUGGGAAAUGAAACUUGGAUAAAAUGCGGUAAGUUGUGACUUAACAACACUCGUAAUGUAAAAGGGAAAUAUUAAAAAAACAAAGAUUAGCAUUCUUUAUAACAGUUUAUUAGCAAAAAUAUUUUAACCCAUGGCGAUAUUUACAGAAGAGUUACUUCAUCUCAGUACGAUAAACAAUGUAAAACUAUACUUACAUAACCAUUGUCAACAAUAAACAACAAUAAAAACAAGCUCUAUAAAGCUGUAAAUUCAAGAAGUUUCGAUUUUCUUACAACAUCUGAUCAUCACCAUCACCAACAUGCUUGUUUAUCUCUGGAGGCCCUCCGAGGUAUCUGACCUCAUUCAGUCACUCAGGCGAUCAUUUGCUAUUUGUCACUUGUCAUUUACAAGUUAUGUUAAUUUGCUAUUUCAUUCGUGAACUUUUCGUGAAUGUCUUCGAAUGUCACUUUUCUAUCUUCUUAGGACAACUUUUUGGAUAGUCUUGAUGCCAGAAGUUGGAAAACAACCGAAACUUACCUUCAUAAUAAACAAAAUCAUAUUCAUGUUGGUGAAUGACAAUCAUCACUUUUCGACUUUGUCACCCCACUGGUCAUCAGCAAAUAAGUCAGCAAAAGACGGAAACUUAAAGUCUCCAAAAGCUGAGUUGGCUUCAUACUCAGGUUCUGGAUCACUAGAGAUGAAUGGGGGUUCAUAGCUGUUAGUUGGAGAAGUGUUUGGUGCCUGGUAACUAUUCGAUAAUUCUGUUGGGGGUUGAUAGUUAUUUGAAGGUAACUGAACACCGUUUGAUGGAUUAUCUGGUGUUUCAUAGCUGUUUGAAGGUGUAGUUGGUGAUUCAUAGCUAUUGGAAGGUGAUGACACUGGCUGAUAGUUGUUCGAUGGUGUGCUUGGCUCUUCAUAGCUAGUAGAUGAACCAGUUGGUACUUCAUAAAUAUUGGAGGGGGAAGAAGGAGCAUCAUAGCUGCCAGAUGGACCUUGUGGUGCAUUAUAGCUAUUAGAUGAAGGUGAAGGAGCUUGGUAAGUAUUUAGUGGGGCUGGGGAUGGUGCUUGAUAACUAUUGGAUGGAAAAGAAGGUGCAGGUUCAUAACUACUGGAUGGUAAUGGCGCCGAUGUUUGAAAGUUUCCAGGUCCUUGGUAAUUAUCUGAAGGGGUUGAAGGAGGAGGCUCAUAUGUGUCAACCGUAGGUGAAGGAACUUGAUAACUGUCUGAGGGGACAGAAGGGGUGUUGUAACUGUUGGAUGGGGACUCAGGUGCUACAUAGUUUUGUAAAGUAGUGGAUGGAGAGGUAGGAGGUCCAUAAAGACCAGAAGGGGUUGCUGCUUCAUUGUCCAGAGGAAGGGGAGGAGAAGGCGGUGGUCUAUAACUUUGCUCUGGUAAAGCUGAUGGUGUAACAAAUGUGGGUGAAGGAGGAGAAUAAGAUUGCCCGGAAGACUGAGGGGCUGGGGGAGUGUAUGACUGUGAAGCAGUUGGUGGUGAAUAGGAUGGUGUUGGGGCUGGUGCUGCUGGGGCUGAGUAUGACCCUGAGGGAGCUGGAGGUGAAUAUGACUGUGAUGGAGCUGGAGCUGAAUAUGACUGUGAGGGAGCUGGGGCUUGAGGAGCUGAGUAAGAUUGUGAGGAAGUUGGAGGUGAAUACGACUGUGAUGGUGUUGGGGCUGCUGGAGCUGAGUAUGACUGUGAUGGAGCUGGUGGUGAAUAUGAUUGUGAGGGAGCUGGGCCUGCUGGAGCUGAAUAUGACUGUGAAGGAGCUGGUGGUGAAUAUGACUGUGAUGGAGCUGGGGCUGCUGGAGCUGGUGGUGAAUAUGACUGUGAGGGAGCUGGGCCUGCUGAAGCUGAGUAUGACUGUGAGGGAGCUGGGCCUGCGUGGUGAAUAUGACUGUGAUGGAGCUGGGGCUGCUGGAGCUGGUGGUGAAUAUGACUGUGAGGGAGCUGGGCCUGCUGGUGGUGAAUAUGACUGUGAGGGAGCUGGGCCUGCUGGAGCUGGUGGUGAAUAUGACUGUGAGGGAGCUGGUGGGGAGUAUGACUGCGAAGGAGCUGGUGGUGAAUAUGACUGUGAGGGAGCUGGUGGUGAAUAUGACUGUGAAGGAGCUUGGGCUGCUGGAGCUGAAUAUGACUGUGAAGGAGCUUGGGCAGCUGGGGCUGAAUAUGACUGUGAAGGAGCCGGGGCUGCUGGAGCUGAAUAUGAUUGUGAAGGGCUUGGUGCAGCUGGGGCUGAAUAUGACUGUGAAGGAGCCGGGGCUGCUGGAGCUGAAUAUGAUUGUGAAGGGCUUGGUGCAGCUGGGGCUGAAUAUGACUGUGAAGGAGCCGGGGCUGCUGGAGCUGAAUAUGAUUGUGAAGGGCUUGGGGCAGCUGGGGCUGAGUAAGACUGUGAUGGAGCUGGAGGUGAAUAUGACUCUGAAGGCACUGGAGGUCUGUAAGACUGUGAAGGAGCAGGUGCAGGAGGUGAGUAUGAUUGGGAGAGUGAUGGUGGAGCAGCAUAAGAAGGAGAUGAGGAAGGUGGUGAGUAAGACUGAGUAGGCUCAGUGGCAGGUGGCUCAUAAUCUCCUGAUGGCACUUCAAUUGAAGAAUCAUACAGAGGUGGAAAUGAUCCAAAAUCAGAGAAGUCUGGAAAAGGUGGAAAAGUUGGUUCAUAUGCAGAUUCUCCUUUAGGUGGCCCAAAACCACUCCCAAAAGAAGAUGCAAAAGAUCCAUAACCACCACUGUCAGAUAAGGGAGCUUCAUAACUAUCACUGAAUGAGUUGACAUCUCCAUAAUCACUGCUGCUAGUGCCAGAAGAAGAAUCAUAGCCACUGCUGGUUACAGGAGGAGCUCCAUAUUCAUUACUAGGUAUAGAUGGGGUUCCAUAAUCAGCAGAAGGUGACCCACCUUCGUAAUCAUUUGAGAUCUCUAUGAUGCUUGAAGAUUUAGGAGGCCCAUACCCAGUGUCUGAUCCCUCUGGGGCUCCAUAGCUAUUGCUUGGAGCUUCAGAUGGUGGUCCAUAGCUAGGAGAUGGGGCUUCAGGUGGUGGACCAUAACUUGGAGCUGGGGCUUUAGGAGGCGGUCCAUAACUUGGUGCUGGGGCUUUAGGAGGGGGUCCAUAACUUGGAGCUGGUGCUUUGGGGGGAGGUCCAUAACUUGGAGCUGGUGCUUUGGGGGGAGGUCCAUAACUUGGAGCUGGAGCCUUGGGAGGAGGUCCAUAACUUGGAGCUGGCGCUUUGGGAGGAGGUCCAUAACUUGGAGCCGGAGCCUUGGGAGGAGGUCCAUAACUUGGAGCUGGUGCUUUGGGGGGAGGUCCAUAACUUGGAGCUGGAGCCUUGGGAGGAGGUCCAUAACUUGGGGCUGGAGCCUUGGGAGGAGGUCCAUAACUUGGGGCUGGAGCCUUGGGAGGAGGUCCAUAACUUGGAGCUGGUGCCUUGGGAGGAGGUCCAUAACUUGGAGCUGGAGCUUUGGGAGGAGGUCCAUAACUUGGGGCUGGAGCUUUAGGUGGUGGUCCGUAGUGAGGCCUUGGUUUCUGUUGAGGUUUUGCUUUAUGGUGAGGCCGAGGACGGUAUUUAUGCUGAGGCCUUUUUGGGGGACGGUACUGUAUAUUAGGCUUGUACUUUGGCUUAUAUUUGGGUCUUUGAGGCCUGUCUUCCACGGACAGGUCGAUGCAUAUAGCCAUAAGCACAAUAACUGCAAACCAUAUCUGUAGAUAAAAAAAAAUACUGAUAAAGUUCUUUAAUAUAUGUGAAGUUCUCUAAUAUAUUAUGUGAUUAAAUCUUACCUCUAUAUGCUUGAUAAUUUAUACAAAUGAUUUCCCCUAUAAAUGAUUAACAUGUAAGAAAAAAAAUGUUGUGGAUGAUUUGCGAAAAAAUUUGGAAUUCACGGUAAAAAUAGAUAGCUCAUUGUUAGAGUCGUGUCAGGUGUCAAGUAUUGGAACUUACCAAAGAUCACAAUCAGUUCAUAUGUGGUUGGUUGUGAUCAGUGGAAAAAAGGUUUCUGCAGAAGAUGAAUAACAAAUCUGCUUCAGCAGUGUAUAUCAAAGCUGAGGAUGCAGUAGCUGUGUGCUCUGUUGACUUACCAGCAUUAAAAUCCUAAUUGUCUUAAGAUCUAGCGUUUCAUUAUUUCAAUAAAUUUACAAACCUAAGGAAACAAUAAAUGCAGGAAACAUGGAGUAAUAAACCUACCUUCUGAAGGAUGGCAGAUUACAAGAAUCUCGGAAAUUGGAAUCAAGUAAGAAACUGCAAACUGUAUAAUCCAGUGAGAUAAGUGGCAAUCUUACGAUUUCACCCGAGAGGAGUAGAGGGACAGAUUCGGUUUAAGCUUAAAUUCUGUAUUUCAAAUCUCCUCCAUCGCAUUUUCCUCCACAAUGCUCCUCUUCUGCAACAACGAUGUUAUCAUACUGAGAAGGCAGGAUUUUUAGUACUACAGAUGUUUGCUUGCUUAAUCUAUGUUAAGCCAAUGGUUUAAUCUGAAAUAGUAAGUGUUCUGUAAUUAUGCAAUGGCCAUCCCCAUUUUGUGGGGAUAUUGUGAUUUCAUAUUAAAUUAGAUGAUAAAUAGUGCACUUCCUUGGUCACCCAUUGGGUUUUGGACCAGGACAUAAGACAUAUAUCUUUUAAUUUUUUUUAAUGAGGGAAAGGAGCACUUUGGUGAAGCCCACUAGGCCACAGCGCCCCUGCCGGGGUAAGACACUUCAUCUCAGGUGAAUAUGUUCAGGUUAAUAGAUGGUCCUAGUAGGAAAAUGACUAAGGUAAUGGUAACCAGAAUGUUUUAUGGGUAAUUAAGGCUCAGAAGAGGAAAACGUCCUAGCUUCUUUUGGAGGUAGGACACUGUCUCUGAGGUAGGGUAAAGUUUGGAUACAGUAAUAGCUUUUAGAAGGUGCACUAUGGUGAAGUUCCUCCAUAUGACUAUACUCGGUAUUUUUUCCAUCUGUCCACCCGCCUGUGCUGUUUGCGUAUGGUAACACUGCGUCCCGGGCUUUAGAUAGUUACGUUCAGCUUACAUUCAACAAUUAUGAUAAUAUCCUAUUUCGAAUAUUAAAGGUGUAAUUCGCAUACAAUCAAUUUUAAAACACUUUUCAGUAGCAAAUGUACACCAAGAUAUCCUUUUAUUUACCUAAAACUUACACAUAGCGUAACUAUCUAAAGCCCGGGACGCAGUGUUACCGUAUGCAUACACCACAGGGGGUUGGACAUGGAAAAAAACAGAGUAUAGCAGAGAACAUUGUAUCUAAGGUGAAUCUAAGUCAAAUUUGGUUAGGAUGUAGACCCUGGUAAGGUCUGCCGUCUGUAGAUAUGAUAAGCUUUUCAAACAUUAUCUAAACUGUCCAGGCUGUCCAGACCUGGAGCCUCCAGCAUACGUAAUCAUGCAUUGCACUGCAAGACUAACAUUAAUUUUGCAGAUAUUAAAAUCAUAUCAUCCACGCAAGUAGAGGGGGAAAUUGCUAUGUUAGAGUCUAUCACAAUAAAAACUAUCAUUCCCUUGUUAUACGCCCAGACGGCCUCUACGCAUCUAUUCGUAGCAUAACUGAUCGUUGCUUAUAAUUUGGUCAGUACUUCAAAUUUUACAAAGCCUCUUACUUUUUAAAUGUUUUAGUUUCUUUUUAACUCUUUCGGUUUAGUUUCUUUUUAACUCUGAUAGGUAAGUUAUAUCCGUUUUUGUAAUGGUUUACAUUUUUUUACGUUUUUAUGCUUUUUUAUAGGAUUUUAAGAGAUUUUGUAAACUGCAGCCUUGAUGGCGCAAUGAAGUGUUGCGAAACGACGUCGGCAAAAUAAACUUUUGAUAUAC